AAUCCAUAGGUUAAUGAGGCGAACCGGGGGAACUGAAACAUCUAAGUACCCCGAGGAAAAGAAAUCAACCGAGAUUCCCCCAGUAGCGGCGAGCGAACGGGGAGGAGCCCAGAGCCUGAAUCAGCAUGUGUGUUAGUGGAAGCGUCUGGAAAGGCGCGCGAUACAGGGUGACAGCCCCGUACACAAAAGCGCAUGUGCUGUGAGCUCGAUGAGUAGGGCGGGACACGUGGUAUCCUGUCUGAAUAUGGGGGGACCAUCCUCCAAGGCUAAAUACUCCUGACUGACCGAUAGUGAACCAGUACCGUGAGGGAAAGGCGAAAAGAACCCCGGCGAGGGGAGUGAAAAAGAACCUGAAACCGUGUACGUACAAGCAGUGGGAGCCCCACCACUAAGCCAGUGGUGAACUCCACAUACGCAUCCUUUGCUGAGGAUACGGUUAACGGAGCGAAAGCGACGUUCAACCGCAAAAGAAGCAGAGGGGGCUUAGUGGUGGGGUGACUGCGUACCUUUUGUAUAAUGGGUCAGCGACUUAUAUUCUGUAGCAAGGUUAACCGAAUAGGGGAGCCGGAGGGAAACCGAGUCUUAAU
rnacentral:rRNA from 2 species